rnacentral:misc_RNA from 1 species
UCUUGUCAACAAAGACAAGCUUUACAUGACGGAUGACAGUGACAUUCUAAUGAUAAUAAAAACAAAAAGUAUUUGCCUGUUAUUGUGAAUUAUUUAGAUUUUUGUAAUAUGAUCAGAAAAACUGUGAUAGUCGUAAUACUGAAUAUAAUCUUACAGGUCUCAGGAGAUUAUGACAUUAUGCUGACACAUGAUGGUCCAAUUAUAAAAGGUGGCACUAUACAUUUUACAGCAGUUGUAACUUCUAAUGACCAACCUGUACUAGAAACCUUAAAAUUUGUAUGGAUGGAUAAUGGAAUACCACAGCACACUAGAGAGAAUGAUGAAGUUAACAAUUCUACAGAUACUUGGACUAUAACAUACACUGCAGGCGUCUAUCCAGCUGGAAUUUAUACAGCUCAAGUAGUUAUAUAUAAGUGCAGUUUUGUCGUCUACUGCCCUGAAAAAGGCUCAGCAAGGAUUAACUUUGUUAUAACAGAAAAUCUUAAUGGAGACUUCCUGUUACUGCAAGGAAAUCAAUCAUUAACGAAUAAUUUCGUAUCGACUAAAAAGGAAGUGAUACACGCAGUAAAAUUAAAGCAAUCAGAUGCAGACUUUAUCAAAACAGCUCCUACAAUUAGAACUUAUUGGUUUGUAGACUGUGUAUAUUAUGGAAUUACCAAUGAGUUCAAAUUUGCUCAUACUUACCCGGAUCCAUAUCAGAACCACACUGUUGAAGCCUUGGUAGAGGCUGAUUGCACUCCAUUGCCAACCACAACAGCAGCACCUACUACUACAACAACCAAAGUUACAACUACUACACCAAAGCCAAGUACAACAGCAAGCACCACUACUAAGCCAACUACAAAAACUACUACAGUUAAACCAAAUGCAAUAACAAUAACUUCAAAUAAGCCAAAAGUCAGAAGACAUAUAACUAAUCCUACUGUGAAACCACAAUCAAACAUUAAAGUUUGGGUCAAUAAUACAUUAGUUCCUUAUAAUGUAUCUUUUCCGUAUGUUUGUAAUAGCUCUUACCUGGCGACUGAUCCUAAGAAAUUUUAUGGAUAUUUUUAUAAAAAAUUUCAAGCUAAAGAUCCUUUGUCGAACAUAACCGUCACUGGUAAUAAUUGGCUGCAAACAGGUGACAUGCUGUCUCUAAAAGUACAAUGCUAUGGUUCCCAAAAUUUCGAGUAUUGUGUUAAAUAUGUAAAAGGAGAAUAUAAUGUGACAGGCAACGAAACUUGUAAAUAUUAUGACACAUUAGAAACCUGCGCGUUUUCUGUUAUGAGGUAUCUAAAUGUUCCUAAGACGACUAUAUUAAUUAUCGUGAAAAAUGACCUCAAUAAGAUAGUUCAACCAGUAACUAUCAACAUCUAUAGUGUGAAGAAACAGGGUCAGUUAUCAGUUAUUGUUGUCCCUGUCGCCUUUAGUUUAGCAGCAGUUGUAUUAAUUGUAUUUGGCGUUGCCUACUAUUUCCAAAAUAGAAGCAGGUUUAUAAUUGAAGUUGCUGAUUUCAACUUCGGCAGACAGUAUAGUGAUAUGGAGUAUAAAACUUUCAGAGAGAGACUAAGAGAUUCAAUCGCCAACGCCUUUACUCGAACACCUACACCUAGCUCGUCAGAAGUACCAGUUUGGCCUCCUGGUAGAAAAUACGGUAGCAUGACAUGAUAUUGGAAUGGAACCCAACUUGUCAUCAGGGAUCCCCCCAUGGAUGAUAAUGAUAAACUGCAACAAUAUUUUUAAUCUUAUAUUUUAUUUGACUUCACUUAUUUAAAUAUGAUUAUUUUUGUUUUUCUAAUAUAUUUAGAUUUUUAAUGCCUUACUUUUAUGUAUCAUUUUAUUAGGCUUUUAUUUUGUCUUCGUUUUGUUCUCUUUGCUAUAGCCCGUUGUAAAUUUAUGAGAUGGCGAACAAUUUUCUUGAAAUUAUUUAUUUAUUUUUAGUUUGAAUUCUGAUUUCUCGAAUAUAAAAAUGUAUGAAAUUUUUAAUUUUUAAUAUUAUGUUCUUGGUAAUCACAUUUUUUGAUUUAAACAUGGUUAUAGUAUGCGUAAAAUUGCAAUGAGCUAUAGCAAUAUUCACGAAGUGAAUAUUAUUUCUUAUCUGUUGUGGGGCUUUAGAGACUUUGUAAAAUAGUAAACAUAAUCAAAUUUUAUUCUGAGAAUAGAAAUAACGAUUAAAUUAUAGUCGAUAAAUUGUAGCCGCUGCUUUUAUUAAAUUUCUUAAUAAAAUUUCCAUUCCAAGCCUAAAAACACGAAUUUUUUAAAACGAAAUAAAAUUUGAAAGACAAUUUUAAUUGCAGCUAAAUUUGAGUUUUUCUAUUGAAAAAGGUAAUUAACUUAAUGUGAUCAAUAUUUUAAUUUCUUCAACAGGUUUUAGAUUUCUAAUAUUAAAAAAAUCAUUAGACAUCCUACAAAAUAGUACAACGUGAACAUAGCCUCGAAUGAACCACCACGGAACAAAUAUUGGUGUUUGGCAGUGUUGCCAUGUCCUUAUAAUACCCAACCUAUACAUUAUAAGAGUAUUACAACACUGUCAAACUCCAAUAUUUUGUUCCGUGGAGGUUCAUUCAAGGAUAUACAGGGUGUCUGCGUAACUUGGAACCAUAUGAGAAACUUUUUUAAUAUCAAUUUUACGAAAAAAAGUCAUUCUUUAUAAAGUGCUCUGCAUAGUCUAAAAUCUAAGAUGCAAUCAUCAGAUAUCAAAUUUUGUCAACAGUAUACGAGGUAUGUCAAAAAAUAUUAAUUUCGCUCAAGAGCAAACUACCUUUAUAUUUCAAAAUAUCAAAAAAUUUUAUUAUGAAAAGUUAUUUGUAAUUAAAAACCAUAUUCAAAUAUGAAAUAACAGCCUUCUACUUGAAAAAAAAUUUCUGAAAUUUUCCUAAAUUACCGACUCCGAACAUUAUUUUUAUUUAUUAGACAUGUAAUAACUCUUUUAUUAAUAAUUUUAGGAAAAAAAGUUAUUUUUCAUAAAAAUCUGUGCAUGGUCUAAACCUCAAGAUGCAACCAACAGUUAUCCAAGUUUGUUAAUUUUAUACGAGGUGUGUCAAAUAAUAUGAAUUUAGAAAGAAUUUUUUCUAAAUUCUUUCUAAAUUCAUAUUAUUUGACACACCUCGUAUAAAAUUAACACACUUGGAUAACUGUUGGUUGCAUCUUGAGGUUUAGACCAUGCACAGAUUUUUAUGAAAAAUAACUUUUUUCCUAAAAUUAUUAAUAAAAGAGUUAUUACAUGUCUAAUAAAUAAAAAUGAUGUUCGGAAUCGGUAAUUUAGGAAAAUUCCAGAAAUUUUUUUUUCAAGUAGAAGGCUGUUAUUGCAUAUUUGAAUAUGGUUUUUAAUUACAAAUAACUUUUCAUAAUAAAAUUUUUUGAUAUUUUGAAAUAUAAAGGUAGUUUGCUCUUGAGCGAAAUUAAUAUUUUUUGACAUACCUCGUAUACUGUUGACAAAAUUUGAUAUCUGAUGAUUGCAUCUUAGGUUUUAGACUAUGCAGAGUACUUUAUAAAGAAUGACUUUUUUUUUCGUAAAAUUGAUAUUAAAAAAGUUUUCCAUAUGGUUCCAAGUUACGCAGACACCCUGUAUAACGUUACACUAUUUUUUAAGAUGUCCAAAUCAUUGUGUAUAAGAGACAAUGGUAAAGUGUCAUAAGCAGUAAUUGGGAACUAUUAAAAAUAAUACUGUACGGGUAUCUCUGUCUGCACAAUCUCUAAUUUACAUUUAUUCAAAAUUUAUAUGUCUUUCCAGUAAUUUUUAAUAAAUUUAACAGUUUUUCUUUCUUUCAUUGCAAGUUAUAUUUACAUAGAUCUUUUUUUAAUUCAUUAGCUAAUCUCCAUUGUGCCACUAGUAUGGAUAUUUCUAACCAGACUUCUUAAAGUUUGUUAUUAUGAUUUGAAACAAAAGAAGGUCAUGAAUAUUACAAAAAGACCUACUCUCAUACCUCAUUUUAUGAUGAUUAAUUUUUCUUAUCAAUGGAUAAUGAACAUAUAAAGCACAUAGUGUUUGCUCCCCCCUUGUCUGGCUUUAAAAUUUACAUAAUAUUUACCUUUUGCUUUUAAUGUCUUUUCUGUUUUGCUGAUUUGUUUUGCUCUUUUUAUCCUAAUUCUCUGUUUAUAAAGUUUUCUUCUAUAGUUAUUUCUACUUUCUCCAUUUUUUUCAAAUAUACAUUUUCUUGUAUUAACUCAUUCCUUUAUAAGAUAAAGUUUUCAAUCCUAAUAGCAUUAUUAAUAAUAUUUAAAAAUAUUAAAAAUAUUACCUACUAAAAGAUUUUUAAAUUGAAAACUUAUUGGUCCAUUUUCUUGGUAACACCUCCAAGGCUUCUAAAAUUUACAAGCCAUAUGGAUGCUGAAGCGAAGAAGACAAGAGGGAAUUCAAAAACUUACAAUUCACGACCCCGUCUGUUCAGCUGGUAAAUUCAAACAGAAAAUGGACCUAGUUACUCAAAGGAGUAAAGACUAAUAUAAAAAUAAAAUAAAAUUUCAUUUUUAAUUCAAUUGUUUUGCCUUAAGAUUAUUUAAUAUUUUAAGAUUAUUUAAUAAGAUUUAUUUUAUUUUCAUUCCUUUAUAGUUUAUUUUCUCUUUCAUGACCUGUAUCAUUUGCUCUACUAUAUUUCUCAGAAUUUUUUAAAUAUCCCAAAGCCCCUUAUUUUUCCUUUUGUUGGCAUCUACUAGUUGCCUUGUUAAUUCGUUUAUUUCAUUGUUGUUAUUUAUUUCAUUUAUUUUUGUUUUUGUCGUAUCUGGUGUGCACUGUAUUUUUUACUUCUGGCAAAUAUAUCUUCUGGUUCAUCUUCUUCUUCGUUUUAUCAUCAUCUGAUAUAUUAUGGUCAUAAGAGCAAUAAAUCUUCUGUAUGUAUUACCUUUUUAGUCUCAAUUUCACUGACGCAUUUAAACUUUUUUGGAAUUUGAACUUUUAAACUUUGGAUUCAUCAUGAUCGGUAACGUUUUCUUAUUAUUUAACUAACGCGAUUAUGGUUUUUAUUGCGGAAAAAUAAUAUGGUGGCCUCCCCUUACAUUCGCUUUGCAAAUAUAAUUUUUUGUGUAUCCCACUAUGCUGUGGUAGUAAGUUUUAAUACAGCCUUCUAGGAAGACACCAAUGGAUGACUAUAACCCCCACAUGAAAUUGCUAGUUCUCCUUUUGUUGCUAUUUUUAAGAGCACACAGUAGCGAUCAACAGGUAGCAACAAACGCGGUCCAAGAUUGCGAAAGUUCUGCGAACUUUCAAAAGUGAGGCAACAGUGCGUCGGUAACUCGACACUGACAGUGACGUUUAUACUAUCAAAAACAAUAAUUAGUUUUUAUACACAUAGGCGCGAAUUGUUGCCAAGUCAGUGACGUUCGAUUUCUUGUUAUAAAAAAAUCGAUUUUUAGUAGUUCCAAUGUGACACAAAAUCUAGGGACGGGAUAAAAAAGUUUAUUUGAAGAAAGUGUAUUUUUGCCUUUCUUAAUGGCGGUACAGGCUCCUUUUUUCAAUAUUUUAUUUAGUUAUAGAGUGAUUUCCACAUGCUAACAUAUUUCUGAAAUUGGGCUCUGUACCGCCAUUCUUUAUUAUAUUACGAAUAUGUGUGCCAAAUAUCUCGACAAAAUAUUCAAAAUUAGAGCCGCAAUCUUGGAACGCGUUUGUUGCUACCUGUUGAUCACUACUGUUUGCUCUUAAAUAUACUAUUUAAUAAACAAGUUUGAAUCAUUUUUUUCAGAAUACCAGUACAAUAAUAGAUAUUUAUAAAAAAUACGUUCAAAAUUUAUACGACAGCAGAGUUAUCCGUAGUAUUGAAACGAAUAAAAUGUUCGUUAUAUUCCAACAUUUUUAGUAAUGUCAAUUAAGAUUUUAUUUUUUAUUAAGAAAUAAAAAUUACAACUGUUAUUAAACACUAAUCAGUUAUGAGAGAGAUAAAAUAUUAAACAAAUACUUAUAUGAGAGUGUGAUGAUAUGUCUGGUCUUAGCUUGUAAUGUACUCAAAUAGUCUUAUGAUAAUUACUCUGUAUUAGUUAUUAAUACCCCUUAUUUGUUAAAGUGGUCCUCUCGUUUAAAAAAUAAUUACGAAUAUAACAAGUGGUCAUGUUUGCUGUAUCGUUGGGAAUCACGAGUUAAGUUUCUUGUUUUAUUUCACAAUCAAUAUAAUUUUCUAACAACUAAUAUUGUGAUUCAGAAACAUUUUUUUAUAAAUCGCCUUCAAGUUGGUUUUGCUUUUGUAUCAACCGUAAUAGAUAGGGUGAUUCAUUAAGAAUGUCCAGUCUCUGGGUUGUAGAUUCUAGACCUCAAAAUAUUACGAUUCUGCCCAAUAUGCCUUAUUUUAAUAUUCAAGCUAUUGCCAAUGUUCUAGCAAUAUCUACCUGUUUUAUGAAUGAUCCCUUGUUGAUGUCCUUUCACACCUCCAACAGUAGCACACUGCUGAGCUGAAUAAUAAUGAGUCUUAUAGAUAGCUGGUACAGGUUUACCUUCAGUUUCCGAAGAGGACCACAUUUUUUGAGAGAUGUUUUCGAAAAUGCAACUUUUUAUAUAUAAACAUGAGAACAUGUUAAUCAUUUAUAUGAAGAAGAGCCAAUCAUUUUAUAUAUAAAAUGUUUAUCGACUGUUGAAUAGUAUUCGACAGUGUUUUUUAACAUGCAGUCAUUUACACAAUUAUUUAUCAUUAAAUAACGAGGCCUACAUCUCAUAUGAUUAUCUUAGCUGGUAAUAAAUUGAUUAUUAGAUAAUAAGAAUUUUGUCCACAAACAGGAAAAAAUUAAAACCAGUUUCAAAAUUCACGAAGACUGUACCAGUGUUAAUUAUUUGUUAAAUAUGACUGUAUUUUAAACAAUAUUGUCAAAUAGAGAUGUAUUUGUAUAUAUAGGUUCAAAUGUUUAUUUUUUGUAUGUAAAAACUGCGUAGAAAUAUAUAAUAAAUAUAACAAGAUUGUA